rnacentral:lncRNA from 1 species
UUUGAGACUAAGCUUGGAAAGCAAGGAUGUCCAUCUUCUUCAUGAAUCUGCAACACAAAACAAAUGCAUUCAUUUUUGCUUUCAUAUAAUUUUAAAAGCCUUGGAACCUCUCUGCACAAUUUUGGCAAAUGCCAAAAUACACAGUAAUUAAUUGCACAGUUUCCUUUCUUUCAUUCUUUUUUUGCAGAUUAGUUGGCAAUUCCACUUGAAGUUACCAGCCAUUUUAAAAGUAAUUAUCUUCUUCAUAACAUGCACUUUUUAGAUUGCAUGACAAUGUUCUACUUCAAAGACAGAAAUAAUCACAUAAUUACCCCAUUGGGACAUACAGGAAGCUUCCUAGUCAUAUGUCUAUCAUUGGAGACUGCUAGUAAUUAGCUCUAGCCUAAGUGGUCAUUAAUAAGAGAUAUUGUAUAUUCCUAUUCAUCGGUACCAAAUAAUUACUGGCACUGUAUCUUUUUGCUAGCCUUCACUGUUGUAUGUAGUCCAUUAAAAAAAAACUAGGGAGAAUGCUUCACUUUCACUCCCAUCUGGAGAUGUAUUUGAUGCAGAUAAAGAAGACUAUAAUUAAAAUUUCAAGUGCACUAUGAAUAUGUGUUUUACUUUAACCCUGGUAAGCCAUAAAUAGAGGAAGACCUUCUCCUCUAGACAACAUGGUGAGAAAAGACCUCUGCUAGAGCAAUAGCUGUCGAAAAUACAAAGCUGAGAGCUGAUUUACAUUUUUCCUCCUCAAAUGGAUGUGUUGAGUCAUACUUAAGAAAUUGCUAUUCUGCAUUAAAGCUCGUCUUCCUAAUGGGCAUUUCAUCUAUUUCACAGCCCUCCACCCCAUGGUAGCUCCCAUGUUUGAUGUUUCGGCUCUCAACUGGAAAGAGAUAACAGAACAGCCAAACAUGUGAUGACAACAGCUUAUUUGCAAGAAAUGUGGAUCCCAUUAUGGAUCUCACCCACGGGAGACACUUCAUCAAGUGAUGAGCAAUCAAGCAAGCAGCUACAUGAGAGAAUGAACUUUCAUUGCGUAUAUGUCCAGCCGAAUUAAUAUGUCUCUCCACAUUUCAAGCCAUACAAUGGACAUACAGUAUAUAUUUUCUUUUCACUUCUGUUGAGCCUACUGGAUCCUGCUGACUGGCUUUCUUUUUCAGUAGGUGAAGCAAUGUGUGUUUAUCCCUGUAUGCUCUGAAGCAGCACAUUGAGGGGCAAAAGGAUACAUGUUUCUUUAGGAUGAGAGACAAAAUUGUAUAGUGGUGCCUCGCUUGAUGACAAUAAUCUGUUCCGUUCAAAUCGCUGUUAAGCGAAAUCGUCGUCAAACGAAAUUAAAAAACCCACUGAAACGCAUUGAAAACCGUUCAAUGCGUUCCAAUGGGUGAAAUACCUCAUUAUGCAGCAAAG